CCAGCUCCUCCCGCGACACCCGCUCCAGCCCCAGCGCCUGGAGGCCGCCGUGACACCGCCAACACCGUGACUUCACCAGCACCGUGACUCCACCAACACCGUGACACCGCUACAGUCACCCACGGACACCACCCAGACCCAGGGACCCUCCUCGUCCAGGUCCUCCACCAGCUCCUCCCGCAACACCCGCUCCAGCCCCAGAGCCUGGAGGCCGCCGUGACACCGCCAACACCGUGACUUCACCAGGAGCGUGACUACACCAACACCGUGACUCCAUGACACUGUGACUCCAUGACACCAUGACACUGCCACAGUCACCCAUAGGCACCACCCAGACCCAUGGAGCCCUCCUCGUCCAGGUCCUCCACCAGCUCCUCCAGCAACACCCGCUCCAGACCCAGUGCCUGGAGGCCGCCAUGACAACGCCAACACCGUGACUUCACCAACACCGUGACUUCACCAACACCGUGACUUCACCAGCACCGUGACACCACUACAGUCACCCACAGACACCACCCACAAACAGGGAC
rnacentral:lncRNA from 1 species